rfam:Hymenobacter psychrotolerans DSM 18569 genome assembly, contig: EJ61DRAFT_scaffold00011.11
GAUGAGAUAUCCGAUAAUAAGAGUCGUCGGAGACCACGACGUUGAUAGGUCCUAGGUGUAGAGUCCGAAAUGGCACAGCCGAGGGAUACUAAUGACUCGAACGCUUCUGUAGU